rnacentral:sRNA from 1 species
UGCUUUAUUUACCCACAGAACAGGGAUAGCAGGGCCAGGAGCAGUGCAGACUUCCCCAUACUGCCCCUCGUAUUUUACAUGACCAUCAAAGACCACAUUCAGGUAGCAAGGCAAC